UAUGUUCAACAACUUGUGGUUCAAAUUGAACUUAUCAACUUAUAUAUACUGGUUAUAACCAAAUAGUAAUAUAAAGAAAACCAAAAAAAUAAUAAUAUUUUCAUAAAACUAACAAAAUGUUGGGAAAAUUUUCAGAGCAAAUACAAAUAAAUGCACCAGCAAGUGAAGUUUGGAAUCUAUAUGGCACUAUUCAAUUAUCAAAAUUUCUUGUUGAAAAACUUCCACAGAUUGUUGAAAAAGUUGAGUAGAUUGAAGGCGAUGGAGGUACUGGUUCAGUCUUGCAAAUCAGUUUACAAGGCAAUGCUCCAUAUAAAGAGAAAUUUGUAUUAGUGGAUGAUGAAAAAAGAGUGAAGGAAAUAGAGAUUGUUGAAGGUGGAUUGCUUGAUCUUGGAUUCAAUUUUUAUAAAAUUAAACUUGAAAUUAUAGAGAAAGAUGAUAAUCCAAGCAUCAUCAAUUUUACCACUAAUUUUGAGAUUAAUGAUGUUGAAAAAAUUCAUCUUGCCAUCAACAACUUCAAAGUCUUUGUUGCCAUAGUGAAAGCUUCUGCAGAUUAUCUUGAAAAAUAAUCUUUUUUUUUAAUUAUUAUUAUUGUAUUUUUCAUAAUUUAUGUUUGUUUACCUUUAAAUUACAUUGUCUAGUAAUGUUAUUGUAU